rfam:Triticum aestivum genome assembly, contig: Triticum_aestivum_CS42_TGACv1_scaffold_409705_5BL
UGUGUACUCCCUCCGUUCCAAAAUACUUGACUUCCAUUUGUCCAAAAAUGGAUGUACCUAUAUACUAAAACAUGUCUAGAUACAUAUAUAUUUUGACAAAUAGAAGGCAUGUAUUGUGCAACGAUGGGAGUAGAAU